AGAGGCUUGUCAGACUCUCCUUUAUGAGUGGAGGCAACUUAGCAAAAAGGGCCAUGAUGUCUUGGCUGCAUUGAGCAAUUCUGGCUCUGCCCUUCCCCUCUCCCCGCACCCUCUGUUACUGAAAACCCUGGGAACAGCGAGAAAGUACUCUUCAUUGAAUGACAGAACCUGCACGAUGUGGAGCUUCAGUUUUCUCCUCUUUUGGGAGUGUUGUGGUAUAUACACCUGGGGAAUGUUCACAUUACCCUCACUGGAAUCAAUGGCAAGACAAAAGAAUGGGUGUGCUGAUACCACCAUGUGUCCGGCGUACGCAACCUGCACCAACACUUCAACAAAUUACUACUGUACUUGCAAAAAAGGCUUCCUGUCCAGCAAUGGACAGACGAAGUUCAGGGACCCACAAGUGGAAUGCAAAGAUAUAGAUGAAUGUUCUCAAAGCCAGCCACCAUGUGGUCCUAACUCAGUCUGCAGAAACCUGCCGGGGAGGUAUAAGUGCAAUUGUUUGCCUGGUUUCUCUUCUCCCACUGGAAAUAACUGGAACCCAGGAAAGCCAGGUCAUUUUGCCUGUACAGACAUUAAUGAAUGCCUCGACAGUGGGGUCUGCCCAGAGCACUCUGAGUGUACCAACUCUUUGGGAAGCUACAGGUGCAGCUGCCAAGUUGGAUACACCUCUAAAAACUCCACCUGUGAAGAUGUGGACGAAUGUGCUGAUCCCAGAACUUGCCCAGAGCAUUCAACUUGCCACAAUAGUCUUGGAAGCUACUCUUGUGCCUGCAACCCAGGAUUUGAAUCCAGCAGGGGAAAGAUGAGUUUCCAGGGCCUGGGAGAGACUUGUGAAGAUGUGGAUGAAUGUUCCAGGAACUCCACACUUUGUGGUCCCAGUUCCGUCUGCACCAACAACCUGGGAAAAUACAGUUGCUCCUGCCUGCCAGGGUUCUUUUCACCUGAUUUGUGGAGCCCUGAGAAACCUGAGGCUUUCAAGUGUACAGAUAUUGAUGAGUGCCUUGAUAAGUGCCUUUUCAAUGCGACAUGCACCAACACCCCCGGGAGCUACUUUUGUACCUGCCACCUUGGCUUUGCACCAAGCAAUGGACAGCUCAACUCCACAGACCCAAAAGUGGACUGCAUAGAUAUUGACGAAUGCCUCCAGGAUCCAUCACCCUGUGGCCCAAAUUCUGUCUGCACCAAUACCCUGGGCUCCUACAGCUGUGGCUGCAUGGUGGGCUUUCAUCCCAAUCCAGAAGUCUCCUGGAAAUAUGGCAACUUCAGUUGCAAAAGGGUUCCCUUCAAGUGUAAAGAAGAUGUGAUACCCAACAAUGAGUGGGCCCAGCUAUGCCAAGUGGGAGCAGCAGUGGAGCCUGAAUAUGUUUCCUUUUGUGCACUGAUGAAUGCCACCCUCAGCAUUCUGGAUGACGUCUGUAAAAACAAAACCACCGUCGUCUCUCUGAAGAGUACGGCUGAGAGCUUUGCCUCUGUGAUUGAACAAACAUCCAUGUGGUCCAACUUCACCAAAGAGAAGACAUCUACCCUGGCCACAGUCUUACUGGAGAGCGUGGAAAGCACCACUUUGGCAGCUCUUCUGAAACCCUCAGCGAAUGUCAGUCAGACGAUUCAGACGGACCACUUAGACAUUGAGAGCAAAAUUAUCGACAAAGGAUGCAUUGAAGAGAAUGAGGCCUUUAAUUUGAAAGCGAAAGGGGAUGAGAUGAAGAUUUGGUGCUCCACAGUCGAAGAAUCUGAAUCCACAGGGAUCAACGGGGUGGCUUUUGUCUCCUUUGCGGGUAUGGAGUCCGUUUUGGAUGAGCGCUUCUUCCAAGACCCUCAGAUCCCCUUGGCCAACUCCAAGAGGAAGUUGAAGUUGAAUUCUCGCAUUGUUGGGGGCAUCAUAACAGGAGAGAAGAAAGUUGGGUUCUCUAAACCAGUCAUCUACACUCUGGAGAACAUUGAGCCAAAGCGGAAUUUUGAGAGUCCCAUCUGCGUUUCCUGGAGCACAGAUGUUGAAGGAGGUAGAUGGACACCGUCUGGCUGUGCAAUCCUUGAAGUUUCUGAGACGCACACUGGCUGCAGCUGUAAUCGAAUGGUGAACUUGGCCAUCAUCAUGGCUGCUGGGGAGCUCACGAUGGAGUUCACUUUGUACAUCAUUAGCCACGUGGGCAUGAUCAUCUCUUUGGUGUGUCUCACCGUGGCCAUCAUCACCUUCCUGCUGUGUCGUACCAUCCAAAACCACAACACCUACCUCCACCUGCACCUCUGCGUGUGCCUCUUCUUGGCCAAGAUUCUCUUCCUCACCGGUGUAGACAAGACCAACAAUCAGAUGGGCUGUGCCAUCAUCGCGGGCUUUCUGCACUACCUUUUCCUCGCUUGCUUCUUCUGGAUGCUGGUGGAGGCUGUGAUGCUCUUCCUUAUGGCCAGGAACCUGAAAGUGGUGAAUUACUUCAGCUCUCGAAACAUCAAGAUGAGGUAUCUCUGUGCCUUUGGCUAUGGGCUCCCGGCGCUGGUGGUGGCUGUCUCUGCCGUCAUACAACCACAAGGUUAUGGGAUGUAUAAUCGCUGCUGGCUGAAUACAGAGACAGGGUUUAUCUGGAGUUUCCUGGGGCCAGUGUGCACAAUUAUAGUGAUCAAUUCCAUCCUCCUGACUGGGACACUGUGGAUCCUGAGGCAGCAGAUUUCCAGCGUCAGUACUGAAGUCUCCAAGCUCAAAUACACCAGGUUACUGACAUUCAAAGCCUUUGCUCAGAUCUUCAUCUUGGGGUGUUCCUGGGUGUUGGGCAUUUUCCAGAUUGGACCCAUGGCCAAUAUCAUGGCUUACUUGUUCACCAUCAUCAACAGCCUGCAAGGAGCCUUCAUCUUCCUCAUUCAUUGUCUGCUCAACCGCCAGGUACGGGAAGAAUACAGAAGAUGCAUGACCAGGAAGACCAAACCCAGCUCCCAGUCCGACACCUCAAGGAUCGCACUGUCAUCCGUUCCCUCCACUUCCAAAACGGUUGCAAGAUGGCUGCCAUAGCUCCAGACAUUGUGACCACGUUCAAGGCAGGAAGGAGAGGGAUGGUGCAGAGUGGAUUAAAGUCCUUUCUUGCUUUCAAAUACACUAUGAAACAACAUUUCAGGAAAGCAGGUGCCUGCAGGAGCCUUCGCUGAAAUCUUUUCUUCUCGGCUUAAUAUGGAAAUGCAGGAUCUUGCCAGCCCCAGAACUCUCUGGGAAAUUCGGAUCAUGGAUGGAUAUGUGGGAUGGUCUUCCCAUGGCUUCACGCCCUGCUGAGAAACAAGAGUUCCUGUUCCAGCUUACCAUUUUAUCUUCUGUGUUCUGCAACUCUUUGACUUUCCAGAGUUUUGCGGAGAUAACAGAUCGCAGUGCAAUGGCGGGACCAAGAACUUCUGGCUACCAUUUUGUUUUGUCCUAAGUCCAUUGAUGUGUGGUUUCAAGAGUGCCUCUCCAGCAUCUAUCACAUGCUUGACACAGAGAGUAGCCCUCAAUAAAUGAUGUGUCUUCUGAC